rnacentral:lncRNA from 1 species
UUGAGAGAGGUCAGCGUGAGCCCCUUGCCUCACACCGGCCCCUCCCACGCUGAGAGAGGUCAGCCCAAGCCCCUUGCCUCACACCGGCCCCUCCCACGCGGACAGAGGUCAGCCCGAGCCCCUUGCCUCACACCGGCCCCUCCCACGCUGAGAGAGGUGUGAGCCCCUUGUCUCACACCGGCCCCUCCCACGCGGACAGAGGUCAGCGUGAGCCCCUUGCCUCACCCCGGCCCCUCCCACGCUGAGAGAGGUCAGUGUGAGCCCUUGCCUCACACCGGCCCCUCCCACGCGGACAGAGGUCAGCGUGAGCCCCUUGCCUCACCCCGGCCCCUCCCACGCUGAGAGAGGUCAGUGUGAGCCCUUGCCUCACACCGGCCCCUCCCACGCGGACAGAGGUC